rnacentral:rRNA from 1 species
AGCGUAGACGGCUGUGUAAGUCUGAAGUGAAAGCCCGGGGCUCAACCCCGGGACUGCUUUGGAAACUAUGCAGCUAGAGUGUCGGAGAGGUAAGUGGAAUUCCCAGUGUAGCGGUGAAAUGCGUAGAUAUUGGGAGGAACACCAGUGGCGAAGGUGGCUUACUGGACGAUGACUGACGUUGAGGCUCGAAAGCGUGGGGAGCAAACA